UUUCUAUAGUGAAACAAGGAAGUCUGGAAGAAGAGAAUGAAAAGAGAGAGAAAGUGAGGGUAAGGAAAAAGAGAGAUGUGAAACAAUGAAGGAAAAGGGGAAGAGAGAUAAAGAAGGUGAAGAAGAACGAAGGAAAGGGAAAAGGGACUAGACAGAACGGAGAGAGAAGAGGAGAAGGAAGAUGAAGGAAAUUGAUUUUGAAUUGGAAUUGGAUUUAGGGUUAGGGUAUGGAGUGGAGGUGCGUGGUGUAACGAAGCUACAGUGCGGUUGGUGUUGGUAGUGGUGGUGGUGAUGAAGAUUUAUGUGAUAUUGUUGUUGGUGAUGUUGUUGUUGUUGAUGAUCUGUUGUAUGUUAGAUUUAUGAAGCUUUAUGAAAGUGGUGAAUAAGAGGAAGGAAGAAAAUGAAGAAUGAGAUAUGAAGUUAGUUGUUGUUGAUUCAUUGUAAGAUACAAUAAACAUACAUGAUCUAACAUUUAUCUUUUAUUAAAAAAGAUCAAACGGUUUAAAUUAACAAAAUUA
rnacentral:lncRNA from 1 species